GACGAACGCUGGCGGCGUGCUUAACACAUGCAAGUCGAACGGAAAGGCCCUGCUUUUGUGGGGUGCUCGAGUGGCGAACGGGUGAGUAACACGUGCUUAACCUGCCCUUGACUUUGGGAUAACUUAAGGAAACUGGGGCUAAUACCGGAUAGGAGCUCCUGCUGCAUGGUGGGGGUUGGAAAGUUUCGGCGGUUGGGGAUGGACUCGCGGCUUAUCAGCUUGUUGGUGGGGUAGUGGCUUACCAAGGCUUGGACGGGUAGCCUGCCUGUGUGGGUGACCGGCCACAUUGGGACUGAGAUACGGCCCAGACUCGUACGGGAGGCAGCAGUGGGGAAGAUUGCAGAAUGGGCGGAAGCCUGAGGCAGCAACGCCGCGUGCGGGAUGACGGACUUCGGGUUGUAAACCGCUUUCGCCUGGGAUGAAGUGGGAGUGACGGUAAUGGGUAAAGAAGCACCGGCUAACUACGUG
rnacentral:rRNA from 1 species